UACGUAGGGUGCGAGCGUUAAUCGGAAUUACUGGGCGUAAAGCGUGCGCAGGCGGUUUUGUAAGCCAGAUGUGAAAGCCCCGGGCUCAACCUGGGAAUGGCAUUCGAGACUGCGUAGCUAGGGUGCGGAAGAGGGAAGCGGAAUUCCGGGUGUAGCGGUGGAAUGCGUAGAUAUCCGGAAGAACACCUGAGGCGAAGGCGGCUUGCUGGGCCUGAUCUGACGCUGAGGCGCGAAAGCGUGGGGAGCAAACAGG
rnacentral:rRNA from 1 species